GCUCGCUUCGGCAAUGCAUAUACUAAAACUGGAAUGAUAAAGAGAAGAUUAGCAUGGCCCCUGGGCAAGGAUGUUGUGAAGUAAGCCGGAAAGAGAAAUACAAAUAU